rnacentral:rRNA from 1 species
CAGUCGAACGAAACUUCUUUAUCACCGAGUGCUUGCACUCACCGAUAAAGAGUUGAGUGGCGAACGGGUGAGUAACACGUGGGCAACCUGCCCAAAAGAGGGGGAUAACACUUGGAAACAGGUGCUAAUACCGCAUAACCAUAGUUACCGCAUGGUAACUAUGUAAAAGGUGGCUAUACUACCGCUUUUGGAUGGGCCCGCGGCGCAUUAGCUAGUUGGUAGGGUAAAGGCUUACCAAGGCAAUGAUGCGUAGCCGAAUUGAGAGGUUGAUCGGCCACAUUGGGACUGAGACACGGCCCAAACUCCUACGGGAGGCAGCAGUAGGGAAUCUUCCACAAUGGGCGAAAGCCUGAUGGAGCAACGCCGCGUGGGUGAAGAAGGUCUUCGGAUCGUAAAACCCUGUUGUUAGAGAAGAAAGUGCGUGAGAGUAACUGUUCACGUUUCGACGGUAUCUAACCAGAAAGCCACGGCUAACUACGUGCCAGCAGCCGCGGUAAUACGUAGGUGGCAAGCGUUAUCCGGAUUUAUUGGGCGUAAAGGGAACGCAGGCGGUCUUUUAAGUCUGAUGUGAAAGCCUUCGGCUUAACCGGAGUAGUGCAUUGGAAACUGGGAGACUUGAGUGCAGAAGAGGAGAGUGGAACUCCAUGUGUAGCGGUGAAAUGCGUAGAUAUAUGGAAGAACACCAGUGGCGAAAGCGGCUCUCUGGUCUGUAACUGACGCUGAGGUUCGAAAGCGUGGGUAGCAAACAGGAUUAGAUACCCUGGUAGUCCACGCCGUAAACGAUGAAUGCUAAGUGUUGGAG